CAACCCUCAGGCCUUGUAUUGCCUGGCGUUGGGGUUUUUCUGCGGGCGCCUCUUAAGGUGCCCGCAGGCCCCCAAGAUCAGUGGCGGACCCGUCGUGGCUCCGAGCGUAGUAGAUUACUUUCUCGCUUGGGAGGCUCGGCGGUCUCCAGCCGUGAAACACCACCAUAUUUCUAAAA
rnacentral:misc_RNA from 1 species